rnacentral:rRNA from 1 species
GACGAACGCUGGCGGCGUGCUUAACACAUGCAAGUCGAACGGUGAAGCGCCUUCCUUUUUGGUGGGUGUGGAUGAGUGGCGAACGGGUGAGUAACACGUGAGUAACCUGCCCCCUUCUUCUGGAUAACCGCAUGAAAGUGUGGCUAAUACGGGAUAUUCUGGGUCUGUCGCAUGAUGGGUCUGGGAAAGAUAUUGUUUCGGUGGGGGAUGGGCUCGCGGCCUAUCAGCUUGUUGGUGGGGUGAUGGCCUACCAAGGCGGUGACGGGUAGCCGGCCUGAGAGGGUGGACGGUCACACUGGGACUGAGACACGGCCCAGACUCCUACGGGCGGCAGCAGUGGGGAAUAUUGCACAAUGGGCGCAAGCCUGAUGCAGCGACGCCGCGUGAGGGAUGGAGGCCGUCGGGUUGUGAACCUCUUUCGCCAGUGAAGCAGGCCUGCCUCGUUUGUGGGUGGGUUGACGGUAGCUGGAGAAGAAGCGCCGGCUAACUACGUG